GACGAACGCUGGCGGCGUGCUUAACACAUGCAAGUCGAACGGAAAGGCCCUGCUUUUGUGGGGUGCUCGAGUGGCGAACGGGUGAGUAACACGUGAGUAACCUGCCCUUGACUUUGGGAUAACUUCAGGAAACUGGGGCUAAUACCGGAUAGGAGCUCCUGCUGCAUGGUGGGGGUUGGAAAGUUUCGGCGGUUGGGGAUGGACUCGCGGCUUAUCAGCUUGUUGGUGGGGUAGUGGCUUACCAAGGCUUUGACGGGUAGCCGGCCUGAGAGGGUGACCGGGCACAUUGGGACUGAGAGACGGACCAGACGCCUACGGGAGGCAGCAGUGGGGAAUAUUGCACAAUGGGCGGAAGCCUGAUGCAGCAACGCCGCGUGCGGGAUGACGGCCUUCGGGGUGUAAACCGCUUUCGCCUGUGACGAAGCGUGAGUGGCGGUAAUGGGUAAAGAAGCACCGGCUAACUACGUG
rnacentral:rRNA from 1 species